rnacentral:rRNA from 1 species
GUGGGGAAUAUUGGACAAUGGGCGCAAGCCUGAUCCAGCAAUGCCGCGUGAGUGAUGAAGGCCUUAGGGUUGUAAAGCUCUUUCACCGGGGAAGAUAAUGACGGUACCCGGAGAAGAAGCCCCGGCUAACUCCGUGCCAGCAGCCGCGGUAAUACGGAGGGGGCUAGCGUUGUUCGGAAUUACUGGGCGUAAGGCGCGCGUAGGCGGCUUGACAAGUUGGAGGUGAAAGCCCGGAGCUCAACUUCGGAAUUGCCUUCAAGACUGUCUCGCUCGAGGCAGGGAGAGGAGAGCGGAAUACCCAGUGUAGAGGUGAAAUUCGUAGAUAUUGGGUGGAACACCGGUGGCGAAGGCGGCUCUCUGGCCCUGAUCUGACGCUAAGGCGCGAAAGCGUGGGGAGCAAACAGGAUUAGAAACCCGAGUAGUCC